GUGCAGCAGUCGAGAAACCUUCGCAAUGCGGGAAACCGCGACGAGGGGACUCCCAGUGCCUACGCUCAGCGUAGGCUGUUCCCGAGCCUAGAAAGCUCGGGGAGUAAGGGCUGGGUAAGACGGGUGCCAGCCGCCGCGGUAAUACCCGCAGCCCGAGUGGUGGCCACUAUUAUUGGGCCUAAAGCGUCCGUAGCCGGCCCGGUAAAUGCCUGGGUAAAUCGUGAGGCCUAACCUCACGAAUUCCGGGUAGACUGCCGGGCUAGGGACCGGGGGAGGGAGAGGGUACUCCAGGGGUAGGGGUGAAAUCCUGUAAUCCCUGGAGGACCACCGGUGGCGAAGGCGCUCUCCUAGGACGGGUCCGACGGUGAGGGACGAAAGCCAGGGGAGCGAACCGGAUUAGAUACCCCUGUAGU
rnacentral:rRNA from 1 species